rnacentral:rRNA from 1 species
UGACUCUCGGCAACGGAUAUCUCGGCUCUCGCAUCGAUGAAGAACGUAGCAAAAUGCGAUACUUGGUGUGAAUUGCAGAAUCCCGCGAACCAUCGAGUCUUUGAACGCAAGUUGCGCCCGAGGCCACCAGGCUGAGGGCACGCCUGCCUGGGCGUCACGCCUC